CAGGCUGCCCGAGCCUCCCGGAAGACAAGUCUCCCUUCCCAAAUGGUCAUACCCGAAAAUGAAGUGAACGUCCGCUGGCGACUUCGGGGUCCCCAGCUCCUCUCUGUGCCAAGGAGCCGCUCGGACCGCACACCGUAUCUGUCUUUCACUGGAAGUUGCAAAACGGUGAUAUCUUCCUUCCGUU